GAUGAAGAACGUAGCGAAAUGCGAUAAGUAAUGUGAAUUGCAGAAUUCAGUGAAUCAUCGAAUCUUUGAACGCACCUUGCGCUCCUUGGUAUUCCGAGGAGCAUGCCUGUUUGAGUGUCAUUAAUAUAUCAACCUUCUCUUUUUUGAGUUGUUUGGAUGUGGGGGUUUGCUGGCCUCUUAAAUGAUUCAGCUCCCCUGAAAUGCAUUAGCAGAACAACCUGUUCAUUAGCGUGAUAAUUAUCUAUGCUAUUGAAUGUGAGGGCAGUUCAGCUUUCUAACCGUCCUUGGACAAUUCAUCAUUAAUGUGACCUCAAAUCAGGUAGGACUACCCGCUGAACUUAAGCAUAUCAAUAAGCGGAGG
rnacentral:misc_RNA from 1 species